GAGCCAUAGCUGAGUGGUAGAGCAUCUGCCUUGCAUGAAGAAGGUCUCAGGUCUGAGGUUCAAUCCUUGGCAUCUUCA